rnacentral:rRNA from 1 species
UAAUACGGAGGAUUCGAGCGUUAUCCGGAUUUAUUGGGUUUAAAGAGUUCGUAGGCUGAAGAUUAAGUCAGUGGUGAAAUCUCACAGCUCAACUGUGAAACUGCCAUUGAUACUGAUUUUCUUGAAUACGGUUGAGGUAGGCGGAAUACGUUAUGUAGCGGUGAAAUGCUUAGAUAUAACGUAGAACACCAAUUGCGAAGGCAGCUUACUAAGCCGUUAUUGACGCUGAUGAACGAAAGCGUGGGGAGCGAACAGGAUUAGAUACCCUGGUAGUCCACGCCGUAAACGAUGAUUACUCGUUGUGCGCGAUACACAGUGCGCGACCGAGCGAAAGCAUUAAGUAAUCCACCUGGGGAGUACGUUCGCAAGAAUGAAACUCAAAGGAAUUGACGGGGGCCCGCACAAGCGGAGGAACAUGUGGUUUAAUUCGAUGAUACGCGAGGAACCUUACCUGGACUUAAAUGCAGCUUGACCGGCUUAGAAAAUAGGUCUUCUCUUCGGAGCAAGUUACAAGGUGCUGCAUGGUUGUCGUCAGCUCGUGCCGUGAGGUGUCGGGUUAAGUCCCAUAACGAGCGCAACCCCUAUCGUUAGUUGCUAGCAGGUAAUGCUGAGGACUCCAGCGAGACUGCCACCGUAAGGUGAGAGGAAGGUGGGGAUGACGUCAAAUCAGCGCGGCCCUUACGUCCAGGGCUACACACGUGUUACAAUGGUCAGUACAAAGGGCAGCUACCUGGUGACAGGAUGCCAAUCUCUAAAGCUGAUCUCAGUUCGGAUCGGAGUCCGCAACUCGACUCCGUGAAGUUGGAUUCGCUAGUAAUCGCGUAUCAGCAACGACGCGGUGAAUACGUUCCCGGGCCUUGUACACACCGCCCGUCAAGCCAUGGAAGCUGGGGGUGCCUGAAGUUCGUAACCGCAAGGAGCGACCUAGGGUAAAACUGGUAACUGGGGCUAAGUCGUA